UAUACCAGUUAAACUCCGCCAUUUUGCCUCUCAGUGUUCAAGCUUGAGCCCACGCAUCCAACUCCUGAGAUCUUACUGGGAAGCUGCUGAUCAUCAGUUUCAGGUAAGACGGGUUGAAGAUCCGAGAGGCUGAGUCACUUCCACAAAGUAACACAGCUGAUUUUAAAUGCCUGCAUUCAGCAUCCCUGCAGCAGGCUCCAGGUGGAAUUCUAAUGGGACCAGCCUCCAGUCCCUGGACCUUAGCCGUGGAAGGAGAGAAGAGGACAUCUGCACCUCCUCUCAGAGAAAGCCUGAUGCCUACUAAAGGACUUGGGUGGUGGACGCAGUGACCCUCAGUCUGGAGCUUGUUCACUGAACAUUGGAGACUAUCAUUUGCGCAGAUGGUCUUGGGCCUCUAUGAGCAGCAGGCUGCACCCCACAGUGACCUCCUCAUUCUACUCUGAGGCAUCUUCAUGAAAGCAGAUGUCCAUUGAAAAGCACCCAAGUGCAGUCUCAGCUGAUGAACUUCAGAGGCGAUUGAGACAAAGGCUCUCGGUCCCCUCUGCCCUUGGAUGGUGCCUCUGGUAUGCACUUGGCCUCUGUGUCUUUAUUUAGACUGGUCACUUCACAACCCAUCAUGUCACCCCACCCCUAACCGUGCCCACUCUGGGUCCUCCCCUCAACUGCCUGACUUCCCACUUUGAGCUCAGCAAAGGCAAUAGAUGUUUUGUCUGCUUCGAUACCCUAAAUGCAUGGCGUGGAAGCUGGCACACAGUGGGCCCUUGAAAUUUGGGAGUGAAUAUGUAUAUAUAUUAUAUUCCAACCUCAACUUUCCUCACUGCUCCUCAUAGUAGGAAUGGAUUGUAAAACUUCCCAGAAUGUUCAAGAGGAGAAAGGAGAGAAAACAGCCUGGAAUUUGAGCUAAGGGGCCCACAGCCCAGCCACCAAGCCAUCUGUAAAAUGGGGUGGGAAUAUGACAUGAGCCACAGGGGUGCUAUGAGGGUUAAUGAGGUCACCGUGCGAUGUACCAUGCCAACAUGAAUAACCAGACCUCUUGAUAUCAUCAUUUUUGCAUUGCCUGGAAAGUGCCUGAUACACACUACAUACUCAACAAGUGUGAUGGGGUGUCCAGAGGAAACUGGUCUAUAGAAUAAUUUUUAUACCAGGCUAUACUUUCCUUUCAAAGUUCAAAGCUGUGUUUGCAUUCUGGAAUGGAGUCCUUGCUCCAGGAGGGAAGCCUUGUGUAUUAGGGUUCUCUAGAGAGACA
rnacentral:lncRNA from 10 species